AACCCCCCUCGCCCCAUCGUCUCUCUCAGGCCCCUCAGAGACGACCCCUCGAAACCCUAGCCGCCACCAAAUCCCUUCGCCGUAAACCCGGCAGCAACAACGCCGGUGACCACCGAACUCACACCCCUAAACCACGUUGAACCCCUCAGUCCAAAUCUAUACCCCUUUAACCUCGAAUCAUACUACAACUUCUCGAAUCUUCAAUCGAAGAUUCGAGCAAAACCCUAAACUUACCCAACCAGUACCAAAGUCACAUACCAGCUCCACCUGACCUCCUUCGUUCCCAAACCACCCUUACUUUCGUUCGAAUCCCAUUAGAACUAGUCGGAUCUUAAAUCGACUAGCAAACCCUAAAAGGACCAAGACUGGAACCUGUCCAAAAUUAGGAGAAUUUUGAGGCUGUUAAUCGACCCUAGUCGAGUGUUCUCAGUCGAGAACACUCGAUUAAGGUCCGUUUUCGCUUCAAAUAUUUCAAGAUGAAGUGUCGACUGAAACGGAUUGGGUUUGGUCUGAAAUUUCAAGGUAUUUCUUUUGUUUUCCUUUUUCUUUUGUUGUUGUUUUAUUUUGACUGAUUAAUUCGUCAUUUUUGUCAAGUAGUUCUUCCUCCUCUUUCGGACCUUUUUCUUGGUCUAGUUUUCUUCUGUUGAUUAACAUAUGGUAUAAAUAGUUUCGUCGAUUAAUCCGUUCAUGUUUGUAGUUUAGUAGUCCUCGUCAAGAUAUUUGAUGUCGAUCGAAUCAUUUUGUGAUCCGUAUAUUCUCAGCUUCAGGGGUUCAUUGUUAGCGUUGAGUUUUGCUACCUGAAUCAGUAGGUUUUUAAUUCAUAUUCGUUUUUGAAUUGAGUUACAAUCAAUCAAAACUUAAGGUAGAGAUUCAAUGGAGCUUUAAUUUGAAAAGUUGAACUGAGGGUAACAUGACAGCAUGGGUUGUCAGGGCACUUUUUAAUUUAGAAAACCAUGCUGCCCAUAACUAGGGGAAUAAAAUAAUGAAAUUGGGAUGUAAUAGGGUAACUGACACUUCUGUCUUGGUUUUUGGGUGGGAAAAUCAGAGGGGGUGAUGAGAGGAAAUAUUUUCUUAAUAGUUAAGUGCUUUUAGGAGUUGGAAAUCAGGGACAACAUGAGCUAAUGAUAAAAGCUUAAAGGUGUGCACAUGGGAGGGGAGAUAAAAAAAAGGAAGAGAGAGGUUGGAGGGGGAAAGAGUCUUGAAGUUUAAAAGAGCAGGACAAGCAUACACAAGGGAGAGCUGAGGAGAUUGGGGGAGAGAACUUUCUGAGAGAGUACAUACAGACAGACUUAAGGGAAGAGGGAGGGAAUCAGAAAAGAAAAACUGAAACUGCCAAAAAUUGGCUACUGUUCCAUUGAGCUCUGAUUUGAUUUCCAAAGUUUUCAAUUUCUUAAAUAGGUUCCGGUCUAUCUAGGCUGAAAUGAUUUGAGUUUGGUAUUUUAAAAAGUUUGGUUCUUGAAGUUCUGGCCGCAUUUUCAUGAGUGUUGGACUUCGUUUCCUGGUUUGAAACUGGUUACCUGGUUGUUUCUGUUGCUGAUCAUUGUUCUUGCUACUGUCCUGCUGUUGCUUCCUCAUUUUCCGUGUUAUUUUCGAAUUUCAGGUACUUUUCUUUAGCUUAUGAGUAUAGCAUGACUGCUGGACAUGUAAUUCUAGCGAAAUUCUGGUUGAAUGGAAAGCUACAUUUGAAUUUGGCCUCCCAUGUUUCUCUUGCUAUUUCAAUAUUACGUAGUUAGGUUUUUGAACUACAAGUGUCAGUUAGGUUUUCUAAAUUCGUUUGUGAAGAGUAGUCUGCAGUAGUAAGUUUGCAUUUGUAUUGAUGUAUGAACUAUGGAUUCUAUUUACUUAGUUUUCUUUUAACAAAUCUAAGUGAGUGCUAGUCAAAGGAUUUAUUAAGAUUUUGUAUAAAGGUUUAGUGUAAUGCUUUGGGUUGUAAAUCCAUGUUUAGCUUAUACUGUAGACCAGUUGUCUUAGCUUGGGUAGCCAUUUGAUUUCAGUGAAUUGCUAAAUAUCGACUUGUAUCUAUUCACUCAUAUUCCGCCUUGUAAACAUGCCCAUUGGUG
rnacentral:lncRNA from 1 species